rnacentral:rRNA from 1 species
UGCAGUCGAGCGGACCGACGGGAGCUUGCUCCCUUAGGUCAGCGGCGGACGGGUGAGUAACACGUGGGUAACCUGCCUGUAAGACUGGGAUAACUCCGGGAAACCGGGGCUAAUACCGGAUGCUUGAUUGAACCGCAUGGUUCAAUCAUAAAAGGUGGCUUUUAGCUACCACUURCAGAUGGACCCGCGGCGCAUUARCUARUUGGUGAGGUAACGGCUCACCAAGGCGACGAUGCGUARCCGACCUGARAGGGUGAUCGGCCACACUGGGACUGARACACGGCCCARACUCCUACGGGAGGCAGCAGUARGGAAUCUUCCGCAAUGGACGAAAGUCUGACGGAGCAACGCCGCGUGAGUGAUGAAGGUUUUCGGAUCGUAAAACUCUGUUGUUAGGGAAGAACAAGUACCGUUCGAAUAGGGCGGNACCUUGACGGUACCUAACCAGAAAGCCACGGCUAACUACGUGCCAGCAGCCGCGGUAAUACGUAGGUGGCAAGCGUUGUCCGGAAUUAUUGGGCGUAAAGCGCGCGCAGGCGGUUUCUUAAGUCUGAUGUGAAAGCCCCCGGCUCAACCGGGGAGGGUCAUUGGAAACUGGGGAACUUGAGUGCAGAAGAGGAGAGUGGAAUUCCACGUGUAGCGGUGAAAUGCGUAGAGAUGUGGAGGAACACCAGUGGCGAAGGCGACUCUCUGGUCUGUAACUGACGCUGAGGCGCGAAAGCGUGGGGAGCGAACAGGAUUAGAUACCCUGGUAGUCCACGCCGUAAACGAUGAGUGCUAAGUGUUAGAGGGUUUCCGCCCUUUAGUGCUGCAGCAAACGCAUUAAGCACUCCGCCUGGGGAGUACGGUCGCAAGACUGAAACUCAAAGGAAUUGACGGGGGCCCGCACAAGCGGUGGAGCAUGUGGUUUAAUUCGAAGCAACGCGAAGAACCUUACCAGGUCUUGACAUCCUCUGACAACCCUAGAGAUAGGGCUUCCCCUUCGGGGGCAGAGUGACAGGUGGUGCAUGGUUGUCGUCAGCUCGUGUCGUGAGAUGUUGGGUUAAGUCCCGCAACGAGCGCAACCCUUGAUCUUAGUUGCCAGCAUUCAGUUGGGCACUCUAAGGUGACUGCCGGUGACAAACCGGAGGAAGGUGGGGAUGACGUCAAAUCAUCAUGCCCCUUAUGACCUGGGCUACACACGUGCUACAAUGGGCAGAACAAAGGGCAGCGAAGCCGCGAGGCUAAGCCAAUCCCACAAAUCUGUUCUCAGUUCGGAUCGCAGUCUGCAACUCGACUGCGUGAAGCUGGAAUCGCUAGUAAUCGCGGAUCAGCAUGCCGCGGUGAAUACGUUCCCGGGCCUUGUACACACCGCCCGUCACACCACGAGAGUUUGUAACACCCGAAGUCGGUGAGGUA